CACAUGCUGCCUUGCCCGUUUUACAUUCCUAACUAUGUGAGUCAUUCAAAUUCUGACUUACCUUAUUAUCCAGAUCAUGACUCUCUCGAGACUUAUCUCAUACUUUCGUCUAAUGACUGACUCUGAUAUCAACUGUGGCAUUCCACUUCUCUAGGAGGUCACCUAUUCUAGAAUUACUUUAGCUUUUGCACACUUAAUUCUUUUAAUCUGUUAGGUCUAACCUCUGGCCAAAAUAUUAUAAUCGAGUUUUAAUUCUACUAUAUUUUUAUAUAUCUAACUAUUUUAAAUUCUACGAGUGUCACAUUUUCAGAUCACCUAAAACCAUUGAUUAUGACGCCGAAAAAAAAAAAAAAAAAAAAAAAAAAAAAAAAAAAAAAAAAAAAAAAAAAAAAAAA
rnacentral:lncRNA from 1 species